UACGUAGGGUGCAAGCGUUAAUCGGAAUUACUGGGCGUAAAGCGUGCGCAGGCGGUUGUGCAAGACAGAUGUGAAAUCCCCGGGCUCAACCUGGGAACUGCAUUUGUGACUGCACAGCUUGAGUGCGGCAGAGGGGGAUGGAAUUCCGCGUGUAGCAGUGAAAUGCGUAGAUAUGCGGAGGAACACCGAUGGCGAAGGCAGCCUCCUGGGAUAACACUGACGCUUAUGCACGAAAGCGUGGGGAGCAAACAGG
rnacentral:rRNA from 1 species